UCGUGGUGUAGUUGGUUAUCACGUCAGUCUAACACACUGAAGGUCUCCGGUUCAAGGUUCAAGUCCGGGCGA
rnacentral:tRNA from 1 species